rnacentral:rRNA from 1 species
AUGUGCUCGGAUUGUAGACCCAUCAAUGUUAUUACCGUUCGUUAUAGGCAUCCCAUUCCUCGCCUAGAUGAUAUGCUUGAUGAACUUAGCGGUGCCACCAUUUUAUCAAAAAUUGAUUUUAAAAGUGGCUAUUAUCAAAUCCGCAUACAAGAAGGUGAUGAAUGGAAAACUGCUUUCAAAACCAAAUUUGGCUUGUACGAGUGGUUGGUUAUGCCUAUGGGUUUAUCGGAAGCUCCCGGUACUUUCAUGCGUCUUAUGCAUUUUGUGCUUCGUCCUUACAUUGGAGUGUUUGUUGUGGUUUUCUUCGAUGGCAUUCUUGUUUUUAGCAAACCCAUGAAAUAG